rnacentral:rRNA from 1 species
UGGGGAAUAUUGCACAAUGGGCGAAAGCCUGAUGCAGCAACGCCGCGUGCGGGAUGACGGCCUUCGGGUUGUAAACCGCUUUCAGCAGGGGCGAAGGGUUUUCUGACGGUACCUGCAGAAGAAGCACCGGCUAACUACGUGCCAGCAGCCGCGGUGAUACGUAGGGUGCGAGCGUUGUCCGGAAUUAUUGGGCGUAAAGAGCUUGUAGGCGGUCCGUUGCGUCGGAAGUGAAAACUCAGGGCUUAACCCUGAGCCUGCUUUCGAUACGGGCGGACUUGAGGGAUGUAGGGGAGAACGGAAUUCCUGGUGGAGCGGUGGAAUGCGCAGAUAUCAGGAGGAACACCAGUGGCGAAGGCGGUUCUCUGGACAUUUCCUGAC